CGUACACUCCUGCGGGAGGCAGCAGUGGGGAAUAUUGCACAAUGGGCGCAAGCCUGAUGCAGCCAUGCCGCGUGUAUGAAGAAGGCCUUCGGGUUGUAAAGUACUUUCAGCGGGGAGGAAGGCGAUAAGGUUAAUAAACUUGUUGAUUGACGUUACCCGCAGAAGAAGCACCGGCUAACUCCGUGCCAGCAGCCGCGGUAAUACGGAGGGUGCAAGCGUUAAUCGGAAUUACUGGGCGUAAAGCGCACGCAGGCGGUCUGUCAAGUCGGAUGUGAAAUCCCCGGGCUCAACCUGGGAACUGCAUUCGAAACUGGCAGGCUAGAGUCUUGUAGAGGGGGGUAGAAUUCCAGGUGUAGCGGUGAAAUGCGUAGAGAUCUGGAGGAAUACCGGUGGCGAAGGCGGCCCCCUGGACAAAGACUGACGCUCAGGUGCGAAAGCGUGGGGAGCAAACAGGAUUAGAAACCCCAGUAGUCCCAUGA
rnacentral:rRNA from 1 species